UACGUAGGGGCCAAGCGUUGUCCGGAUUUAUUGGGCGUAAAGAGCUCGUAGGCGGUUCGGCAAGUCAGCUGUGAAAUCUCCACGCUCAACGUGGAGGGGUCAGCUGAUACUGCUGUGACUCGAGUCCGGUAGGGGAGUGUGGAAUUCCCGGUGUAGCGGUGAAAUGCGCAGAUAUCGGGAGGAACACCCGUGGCGAAGGCGGUUCUCUGGGACGGUACUGACGCUGAGACGCGAAAGCGUGGGGAGCAAACAGG
rnacentral:rRNA from 1 species